UACGUAGGGGGCUAGCGUUGUCCGGAUUUACUGGGCGUAAAGGGCGCGUAGGCGGCGCAACAAGUCACUUGUGAAAUCUCCGGGCUUAACCCGGAGCGGCCAAGUGAUACUGUCGUGCUAGAGUGCGGAAGGGGCUACUGGAAUUCUCGGUGUAGCGGUGAAAUGCGUAGAUAUCGAGAGGAACACCUGCGGCGAAGGCGGGUAGCUGGGCCGACACUGACGCUGAACUGCGAAAGCUAGGGGAGCGAACGGG
rnacentral:rRNA from 1 species